AGAGUUUGAUCAUGGCUCAGAUUGAACGCUGGCGGCAGGCCUAACACAUGCAAGUCGAGCGAGAAAUCUCCUUCGGGAGAGAGUAGAGCGGCGGACGGGUGAGUAACGCGUGGGAAUCUGCCCAGUAGCGGGGGAUAGCCCGGGGAAACUCGGAUUAAUACCGCAUACGCCCUACGGGGGAAAGCAGGGGAUCUUCGGACCUUGCGCUAUUGGAUGAGCCCGCGUCAGAUUAGCUUGUUGGUGGGGUAACGGCCUACCAAGGCGACGAUCUGUAGCUGGUCUGAGAGGAUGAUCAGCCACACUGGGACUGAGACACGGCCCAGACUCCUACGGGAGGCAGCAGUGGGGAAUAUUGGACAAUGGGGGCAACCCUGAUCCAGCCAUGCCGCGUGUGUGAAGAAGGCUUUCGGGUUGUAAAGCACUUUCAGCGAGGAGGAAAGCCUGAUGGUUAACACCCAUCGGGGGUGACGUUACUCGCAGAAGAAGCACCGGCUAACUCCGUGCCAGCAGCCGCGGUAAUACGGAGGGUGCAAGCGUUAAUCGGAAUUACUGGGCGUAAAGCGCACGUAGGCGGCGGAUUAAGCUAGCUGUGAAAGCCCAGGGCUUAACCUUGGAACUGCAGUUAGAACUGGUUCGCUAGAGUACGGUAGAGGAGUGUGGAAUUUCCUGUGUAGCGGUGAAAUGCGUAGAUAUAGGAAGGAACAUCAGUGGCGAAGGCGACACUCUGGACUGAUACUGACGCUGAGGUGCGAAAGCGUGGGGAGCAAACAGGAUUAGAUACCCUGGUAGUCCACGCCGUAAACGAUGUCUACUAGCCGUUGGGGCCCUUGAGGCUUUAGUGGCGCAGCUAACGCACUAAGUAGACCGCCUGGGGAGUACGGCCGCAAGGUUAAAACUCAAAUGAAUUGACGGGGGCCCGCACAAGCGGUGGAGCAUGUGGUUUAAUUCGACGCAACGCGAAGAACCUUACCAGGCCUUGACAUCCUGCGAACUUUCUAGAGAUAGAUUGGUGCCUUCGGGAGCGCAGUGACAGGUGCUGCAUGGCCGUCGUCAGCUCGUGUCGUGAGAUGUUGGGUUAAGACCCGUAACGAGCGCAACCCCUGUCCUUAGUUGCCAGCGAUUCGGUCGGGAACUCUAAGGAGACUGCCGGUGACAAACCGGAGGAAGGUGGGGAUGACGUCAGGUCAUCAUGGCCCUUACGGCCUGGGCUACACACGUGCUACAAUGGGCGGUACAAAGGGUUGCCAAUCCGCGAGGUGGAGCUAAUCCCGAAAAACCGUUCGUAGUCCGGAUUGGAGUCUGCAACUCGACUCCAUGAAGUCGGAAUCGCUAGUAAUCGUAAAUCAGAAUGUUACGGUGAAUACGUUUCCGGGCCUUGUACACACCGCCCGUCACACCAUGGGAGUGGGUUGCGCGAGAAGUGGCUAGUCUAACUUCGGAGGACGGUCACCACGGUGUGAUUCAUGACUGGGGUGAAGUCG
rnacentral:rRNA from 1 species